AGAGGAGAGAGAAGUCAAAGCUGCCCACGGAAGGAUAGACCCGACCUUCCCCUCCUCCUUUCUUCUCCUUUGCGUCAUUUCUGGUUUUCCGGCGAUUUCGUCGCCGUCCGGCCACCCCAAGACGAACCGCUUGGCAUGGCGUGAUCCUCUCCUCCUUCUCUACCUAGUUAUCUCGUUUUGAUCGGUGGAGGAAGAUUUGAAGGUGUUUGAGACUGUGAACAGUACCGUGAACAGUAACUGUCGAAUUCUUGGGUUCUUGUUUGAUUUUUUUUUUUCCGGACAUUUCUACUUGAAUUUGGUUGUUGUUGCAGGACGUACUGAUCCCUCGAGCGAGGAGGACACGGGCAGGCAGCAGGGUUAGCUGCGAGACUCACCAUUUCAGAUUGGCCGAGAUCGCGCCCAGGAACUAGAGGCUUGGAAAUCAGCGCUUCCGUUUUGUUCGUAGGUUAUUACUUAACCUACCUUGUAUGAUAUCGGCUUAGUUAUGUAGAAUUGCUCUGAUAACCCUUUUAAAUUUAGAGAGUGUUAAUGCUUGAGAAUAUGUUAUCUUAUGGAGGUUAACGUGGAAUUCGUACUUCCUGAAUGUAAUAUAUACGCUUGGAAUGUAAAUAUUGGAAUGUAUCUAUGAGUGUGAGUUAGUUUAAAGCA